UACGGGGGGAGCAAGCGUUGUUCGGAUUUACUGGGCGUAAAGGGCGCGUAGGCGGCCAGCACAAGUCAGUUGUGAAAUCUCCGAGCUUAACUCGGAAAGGUCAACUGAUACUGUGCGGCUAGAGUGCGGAAGGGGCAACUGGAAUUCUUGGUGUAGCGGUGAAAUGCGUAGAUAUCAAGAGGAACACCUGCGGCGAAGGCGGGUCUCUGGGCCGAUACUGACGCUGAGGAGCGAAAGCGUGGGGAGCGAACAGG
rnacentral:rRNA from 1 species